rnacentral:rRNA from 1 species
AACGAACGCUGGCGGCAGGCUUAACACAUGCAAGUCGAGCGCACCGCAAGGUGAGUGGCAGACGGGUGAGUAACACGUGGGGAUCUGCCCAAUGGUACGGAAUAGCUCCGGGAAACUGGAAUUAAUACCGUAUGAGCCCGCAAGGGGAAAGAUUUAUCGCCAUGGGAUGAACCCGCGUCGGAUUAGCUAGUUGGUGUGGUAAAGGCGCACCAAGGCGACGAGCCGUAGCUGGUCUGGGAGGAUGAUCAGCCACACUGGGACUGAGACACGGCCCAGACUCCUACGGGAGGCAGCAGUGGGGAAUAUUGGACAAUGGGCGCAAGCCUGAUCCAGCCAUGCCGCGUGAGUGAUGAAGGCCUUAGGGUUGUAAAGCUCUUUCGCCGACGAAGAUAAUGACGGUAGUCGGAGAAGAAGCCCCGGCUAACUUCGUGCCAGCAGCCGCCGUAACAC